rnacentral:rRNA from 1 species
CUACGGGUCGCAGCAGUGGGGAAUAUUGCACAAUGGAGGAAACUCUGAUGCAGCAACGCCGCGUGGAGGAUGACACUUUUCGGAGCGUAAACUCCUUUUAUAUAGGAAGAAGAUGACGGUACUAUAUGAAUAAGCGCCGGCUAACUCCGUGCCAGCAGCCGCGGUAAUACGGAGGGCGCAAGCGUUACUCGGAAUCACUGGGCGUAAAGAGCGUGUAGGCGGAUUAAAAAGUCAGAAGUGAAAUCCUAUAGCUUAACUAUAGAACUGCUUCUGGAACUCUUAAUCUAGAAUAUGGGAGAGGUAGAUGGAAUUUCUGGUGUAGGGGUAAAAUCCGUAGAGAUCAGAAGGAAUACCGAUUGCGAAGGCGAUCUACUAGAACAUUAUUGACGUUGAGACGCGAAAGCGUGGGGAGCAAACAGGAUUAGAUACCCUGGUAGUC